UACCCUUAGUGCUAGAAAUAGCCUAAGGAAGCCCUUCGUGCUCGGAAGGAAUUUAGGGAGGAUUACCCUUAGCACUAGAAAUAGCCUAGGAAGGAUUACCCUUAGUGCUAGAAAUAGCCUAAGGAAGCCCUUAGGCUAGGGGGGGCUUAAGGAAGAAUGGGACAGUCUCUAAGUGUAGUAAAGGUCCCAGAAAGAGAGGUGUUGGGUAAAGAGGUUUAUAAGGUAGUUCGGCAUGCUGGUUGGGAGAUCAAUUUUAAAAACUGCUAAGGCUUUAGUAGAUACUAUACUGAAGUGCUGCCCCUGGAUUCAAUAUAACGGGUUGGAUUUAUGUAAGUGGGAAGUGGUAGGCAGCCAAAUGGCCUCUUACGACAAAGAUAAUCUUGGGGAAAUUCCGGAGAGGCACCAAGCUAUUUAUACACUUAUAAAGGCCUCUAUAAAGGGGGUGCCGCGGCACCCCUUAAAAUGUGAGGUAGGGUGUCAGGCUGGGGAAGAACUUGACAAUGCAGACUCGGCACAAAGAAUGUGGUGUGCCAAUGUGGCAAUGCAAGAGAGAAAAACAGGAACCAGGGGAGGGGAACCUCCUGAGGCAGAGCCAGGUGGCCAGGAUGAGGCUUAGAGGAGGCAAGGUUUCAGUUCCUCUUGGGAAACAUCCCAGUGGGCCGGAGGAGAGUCCCCUCCUCACUGUGUAUCAGUAAGGCCCUCGCCCUCGGCCCCUCCUUUCAGUAAGGAGAAUGCUGACCCUAUCGCCCUGCUAACUGAAGGUCUGAGGAGUGUACAGAUCAGCGAAAGAGAAGGAGCAGAAAAGGGAGGGCCUAGCACCCAAUCAGCCUUUCAGCUCAUGUUGCAAGAGGCCCGAGAGGCAGGAGUUUCAGAGGGUUUGUUCUUAUUUCCACAGGUGAUGGAGAACUUUGGGUCAGAACGAAGGAUGUCUGCAUCAUCCAUUCAGAAGGGACAAGGCAAGCAGAAGAGAAAACACAGGCUGGCCAGGAAUUGAAGGAGUCAAAAGAAUAAGAAGAAGGCACUACACGAGCUUGUAACCAUGCUGUGACUCUUGUUAUCAUUGUCGGCGGUGGUACAGAACACAGCAGCAGAGACAGGAAAUACAAGAUGGACUUUUGUGACAAAAUCACCAUGGCUAAGACUGGCUACAUGGGGAGAGAUGAUACCUGAGGUUAUUCUACAAGGGAAUGCAUCUGCAGGAUGGGGGAAGGAAUUUAACUUUACACCUCAAAAGAAUGGUAUCAUACUAGGGCUGGUCAUAUUUUUGGUAUUAUAGAACACAAAAGUGAAUUAGUUUUAAGAAGACAAAAAAGGUGUAUUUCUUGUGUUGUUUUGGGUAUUGUUUCAUUAAUAGCUUUGAUUUCUUCUACUGUCUCUAUAGCACUGUCAAUUUCCACUGUUCAAAAUGAAAUUGUUCAAGAUAAAUUUUUGAAUGAACUUGCAAAAAAAUAUAUCUAUAGGCUUUGCUACACAAAAAUGUAUUGAUACUGAAUUUUACCACAUACUUGAGGGAAUGAAGGAAACCAUUAUUGAAACAGGUGAUGAAUUGGAUAUUUUAGAAUAUGGAACACAUUUACAAUGUGAUUAUAGGUUUCAAUUUAUGUGUCUUACCAAUGUUAUAUAUAAUUCAUCUAGAUGGGACUGGAUGAGGAUACGUAGACAUUUGAAUGGAUUGUUUGAAAAUUCUACAUUGUCAUUGGACAUAGAUGAGUUAUACCAUAUUGCUCAAGAAAUUUCACAUGCAGCCGACAGGGCUCUAAUGCCUGACAAAACAGCACAUUCUUGGCGCGUUGGUGCCAGGAUAAAGUCCUUUUAGACUUUGUUCUCAGUACCAAUAUGUCGGCUCACAUUCAAGCCUUGAAACAAGUGAUUGAACUGUCUCGCAACAUCACCACCAAACAGACUCAGAUUGAUCCAGUGCACAUACUUACUGACUGGAUUGAAGGACAACAUUCCGUUGUUCCCACGAUAAUUGCACAUGUUGUUUAUUUAGUGUUAUUUGCUGUAUUGUUCAUCAUUCUGUUGCUGUGCUUGCUGUCUUUUAUCAUUCGGCUUGUGAGGAACUCCAUUGGGACUUUAAAGGCAGAAAUGUUGCAGGCUAGACCGCUAGCUACUUUUCAGAGGAGGGCUUAGGCCUCUUUAAACAAAAAGGGGGAAUUGUGGGGAGCCGUAGGACCUUGAGGACCACAGGCUGUUCAUGAGACUUCACUGAUGGGCGAAGGCCCCUCUCGGGUGUUAGUACAUGUGCAGAAUAUCCUGGCUCGGUUCUCCAUCCAUGGACCUUGCAUUCCCCAAUCAGCAGAACUCUGAUAGUAGGCAAGCUCAAACUAUAACACAAUGUUGCUAGCUCAAGCACAGUCAGCUCUAGCACAAAGAGAUAUCCAGUAUUGCUAAACUUAUGUAUCAAGUAUUGCUAGUUCAAGUAUCAGUAUUGGGAACCUUCUGGGAACGAAAAGUACAUGGUGUUUUAUGGGAACAGCACGGGAGAAGGACACAGUCAGGAUAAUGUUGCAAAGAAAUGUACUUGUGGAUACUUUGAUUGUUAUUCGCAUGGGAAAGAUGUUUGGUGUUGCCUAUUGGUAAAGAUAUGUAAACCUUGUUGCUUUAUUCACUGUUACAUUGGAGUAUGUUCCCUUGAGUAAAAGAUAUAAAACGCUGAAGGCAGGACCAGGGAAAUAGUAGUAGUAGUAGUAGUAGUAGUAGUAGUAGUAGUAGUAGUAGUAGAGAGUAGGGUAGCUGCAUAGUUGCUUACCCGCUUGAGAUUCUCUCAAGCUGAAUAAACUUUUUGAAACUA